GCGCACCAGUCGCGAAAACUUUACAAUGUGCGAAAGCACGAUAAGGGAACUCUGAGUGCCUCCUAAGGAGGCUGUUCAGGUGUCUAAAAAGCACCUGAAGGAAGGGCUGGGUAAGACCGGUGCCAGCCGCCGCGGUAACACCGGCAGCCCAAGUGGUAGCCACGUUUAUUGGGUCUAAAGCGUCCGUAGCCGGCUGGGUAAGUUCCUUGGGAAAUUUGGCUGCUUAACAGUCAAGCUUUCAGGGAAUACCGCUCGGCUUGGGACCGGGAGAGGUCAGAGGUACUCCAGGGGUAGGGUGAAAUCCAUUAAUCCUUGGGGGACCACCGGUAGCGAAGGCGUCUGACCAGACCGGGUCCGACGGUGAGGGACGAAGGCUAGGGGC
rnacentral:rRNA from 1 species